UAUAGGCUUAAAAGUGGUGAAUCCCCCUGUGCGGUGGGGCAAUCCAGUUGAUGAUGUAAAUAUGCUUGCGGCUCGUAUAACUGGUAACGAGUCACCGGGAGGCACCCGGCACCUAUCUUAGUAUCCAUGCCUGAGUUAAAUAUUGCCUGCUUUUGAAAGCAGGCUUUUUUAU
rnacentral:sRNA from 1 species